AAAGUCCGCGUCCGGUAAAGUUUAGCAAACAGCCGGUACACAGCCUUGGAGCCGAAGCCGUGAGGUGAGGUUUAAGCGUAGGCAGUGGAGUGCGAGAGCCGCAAUGCGAAAGCGUGAAGCGAUACAGCCCCGUAAGAUAGAUAGUACGGAAGCCGAUACCUUCCUUUCGGUAGCAGGCAGCAAUGCGACAGUCGAUAAGCGAGAAUGACGCAGGUUCCGUCGGGGUCUAAGAGC
rnacentral:ncRNA from 1 species